rnacentral:rRNA from 1 species
UACGUAGGGGGCAAGCGUUGUCCGGAAUCAUUGGGCGUAAAGCGCGCGUAGGCGGCCCGGUAAGUCCGUUGUGAAAGUCAAAGGCUCAACCUUUGAAUGCCGAUGGAUACUGCCGGGCUCGAGUCCGGAAGAGGCGAGUGGAAUCCUGGUGUAGCGGUGGAAUGCGCAGAUAUCAGGAGGAACACCGAUAGCGAAGGCAGCUCGCUGGGACGGUACUGACGCCUGAGGCGCGAAAGCGUGGGGAGCGAACAGG